GGAGGGGACGAGGAAACAGAGGCUCCUCCUCGCUCGUGACUACAGAGAGUAACUGCAGAGUCAGGGUGUCUGUGGAGCCCACCUGGACUGUCUGCACCAGACCACACGACUUCUCUCACAGAUUGAGUUUUGCAAAGGGAACGACACCUACCCAGCUGUCGGAGGGGAAACUGUGCCCACACCCUCUGGGCUGUUCACCGGGCACGUACCGUGAGCCUGCCCGGAGCUAAGCUCUUCCCACGAGCAUUUCCUCUGCUUCUCUGCACAGCCUUCGGUGCUGUUUUUCACGUUAUCGCACAGGUGGAAACUGAGCAGUCCUGGGAAGGAGCUGCAAGUGCUCACAGCUCACACAGACACCGGGGACCCAGAGGCCCGAUGCGCAGCAACACAGGAAGUGCGGGGCUGAGUUCUCAGCGCUGGGAGCCAGCCCACGCGGGACAGGCAAACGCAGUAAUGUCGUCAGGUGAGGAUGAAAAACAACAACAAAAAAAACAGAUUAUUGUGAGGAUCAAUGUAGAAUCAAUACGUGAACACACUCGAAACAGUUAUAACCUAGCCUGUGCAGGCAGGUGGGUCAGCAGGCCACAGAGGUUUGGUGGACGGAUGGAUAAACCUGCGUGAGCACGGAACCAGCAGCCUCUGGAGUCUAAGCUCCUACUUCCAGGUAAGCAAGGUGUUCUGGGGACUAAAUGAACUGUGCGGUGGCUGUUCCCAUGUUCUGCCUCAGGCACCGGGAUUCUUGUCCUCUGGG